CCGGCCUUGGCUAGUAUUUUUUAAAUAAUUCAUAUAUAUUUGAUUUAAAUCUCACAGCCAACAGCACAUGACUUAGUAGCCACUUCUGGUCCAACAUCCACCAUUGGGAUGGAACCCCUCAGGUGACAUAACAAUGUCUAGGAUUCUGUUUGUGCUGUUGUUAUUCUGCCUGCCAUGGGCACUGAGUACAGCUGCUCAUCAUACUGGACUAAUCAGGUCAAGGACAUGGGGCUUCAUUCUAAGUAACUCAGCUGUCAUCUUCAUUAUAAAACCACACAUUUUCCUCUGACUCUGGGCAAUGACCUGCGUAUAUAAGCUGUUAGUCAUAAGGGCUGGAUGGGGCAGCAUCUCAAUCAUAUAGGGCACAGGACAGACCUCAGUAUCACCAGCAAGAAUCCAUUACAGUUCAACAUGUAGUACCUCCAGACCUUUUCCCUGUGCCCCUGGACUCCAAGGUCUAUCCCACCCUCAGCUGUCCAUCUUCUAGAGCAGGCGGUCUAGCCUCCCCAAACCAGAAGAACUUCCUUUUUAUAUUCAACCACCUGAUGGAUGUCCCUGAUCAGUUCCCUCAGCUGCAGAGCACAAGAAGGACCUUCAGGAUCCAGCUUUCUGUGAUGAGACUGAGGCCAAAGAAGAAGGAAAAAGGAGAUGUUCAGGAUCACGCAAUGAUUUGUGGCAAAACCCCAGCUAUUAAUAUAACACCUAUACAACUUCUA